UACGGAGGGUGCAAGCGUUAUCCGGAUUCACUGGGUUUAAAGGGUGCGUAGGUGGGAAUGUAAGUCAGUGGUGAAAUCUCCGUGCUUAACAUGGAAACUGCCAUUGAUACUAUGUUUCUUGAAUCUUCCGGAGGUCAGCGGAAUAUGUCAUGUAGCGGUGAAAUGCUUAGAUAUGACAUAGAACACCAAUUGCGAAGGCAGCUGACUACAGGGGCAUUGACACUGAGGCACGAAAGCGUGGGUAGCAAACAGG
rnacentral:rRNA from 1 species